UCCCUCCAUUCCAGUCCUCCGUUACCCGAUCAAUCACUUCGAAAGGAACGAGCCUCCCUCUGGCGACGCUCCUCCUCCGCAUUCCGGUCGACGCUGCUCGUCCUGGUUGUCAUUCCAGCCAAGCCUUCCAUUCGACGCUGCUCCUCCCACUCUCACACUCAGCUCCUCUAUCUGGCGACUCAAGCCGCUGGGUCUCCACGCCAACCUCCAACGCCUAUCUCUUGCUUGCUUGAUUGCAAGGAUUUUUCCCUACUUGGAAUUGUUUGGGGAGCUAUGUUUGAAGCUGUACCGUAAUCUCGUUGCCUUCUCAAAUGGCCAUUAAAACGAAAGAUUUAUCAUACGGAUCGAGAACCCUCAGCCAUUGUUGAUUGAGCGCCUGGGCUUUGCAAAGGAAAUGGGUCAGAUUCAAUACUCCGACGACACUCUCGAGUACAGAAUGAAUGGCAUGCGAUUGGAGCCAGCAGAGUUGAGGUUGGAGUCCAUCGCCUCAAGCUACACAUUAUGCUGUUAAAGAGGCCCUUGAACUACCAGCAGCAGCAGGGAACUAGCUAGGAUAUGCUUCUGAAUUGUUUCUAACUGCCCCACCUUGCCAUUGCAUGGUGUGCGUUCUGUUUUCUGUAAUUACUAAACUCUGAAGUUUGUAAUGUUAACUCUUGAACGAGGUUGUGCUAUUUGAUUCCCCUCUUUAGGGAAUUACUAUGAUUUUGCUUCAAAUCUGAUCAGUUGUCUCGAGUUCUGAUGCUUAA